rnacentral:rRNA from 1 species
AUGGAACUCAUCAACAAGGUCUUCUCUCGCCCUCUUCUCUUCUCCUUUCGAUUCGAUCUGGAUGUUGCUCACACAUGCCCGAUUUGUUUUUCUUCCUCACAUAGGUCGUCGUCAAGCCCUCGAUCUGGCUGCGACCUCCAGCCAUCGCGAGAUCUGAACGACUCACGCAACCCUGCUCGCCGCAUCCUACUCGGCGGCCACCAUGGUUCCACCGUGGUGCCCUUCGACUCGCCCCUCCCUCUGCUUCGCGCGCCAGUCCCUUCCUCUUCCUCCGCCGCCUCCGCCGAGCCCCCCGUCCUCGCCUUCCAUGACGCCGCGAGCUGGCGAGCCGCCUGGGAGGCCGCCAAGGCCAGCCUCUUCUCCCAGUGCGAGCUGGCCGAGCUGCCUCGCGCUAGUCAAUGCCAGGCAGCAAGUUUAGCAGCUACGCACAUCAAACAGUGCAGACAAACCCCUGACUAG